CUCCGCGCGCCCUCCCUCCACACACCGCUCGGCGGGAACGCGCCUCUGCUGCCGCGCUCUGAUUGGCGGCCGCGGAUGUCAGUCAGAGCAGGGAGAGACGGUGCUGGUCGUUGGUGUGCUGUGGUGAGGGGGAUAAAUAAAAGCGGGCCGCGAUUGCUGCUGUUCUUACUAGCUGUGCGAGGGGAGUUGGGGGAAAAAGGAAGCUGUGAUGGUUAUUUGGAACUGCAGCUCUGCCUUUAAGAUGGAUAGUAAGAAAAGCCCCCGGCUGGGCCUGUGCUGAGGACUGUAGCUUCUCUGGAGCGAGGCCUCCUGUGUGCCGAAUGCAAAUCGUAGAAUCCUGGAAUCCUCACCAAGAACCGUUAACUCUGCCACGUGUGGAGGAGAAAGGCCAGUCUGAGCCAUAGCCUGCCUAGGCUGACGGUGAAGAGGGCUGUGCAGGUAGUGGGGGAAACACAGAAAGCCUAGGGCUGGUACCAACCUUGGAGAAGACCCAGGAAGCACAAUCUUCUGCCCUAGACCUGGGCAGGAGGGAUUUUUCCAACCAGAUCAGUUGUGGCAGGAUGUUAAGAAUGAGUCAGUGUAUUCGCUGUGGGAGAAAACCUUGUUGCUGCAGCUCCACAGAAAGGAAAAGAAGAAUUGCAAUUGCAUCUCCGCCCUGCAUAAGUCUACAAGAGGCUCAGAUGAAAAGGUGUCCCUCUGCUGGCUUGCUCGCAUGCUUGAAGGUGGUGAAGAUCCACUCUACGUGGCAAGGAGGCUGGUGCAGUUUGCAAGCGAGGAUAUAGGUGCCAGACCUGUUUUCUCACCUCAGUGCUGCAUACCCAAGAGUGACACCCUGUCUUUCUUGUCAAAGAGUGUCUCAGGGAAUCACAAAACAAUGAAACAAUGAUUUGAAUGUCACAAGCACACAACAAGCAUGCAAAGCAUGUAACAGAUUUCCAGCUGAACAGCAACCCAAGGCUGCAGCCCUCUCUCUGGUCAGCCAUUAAGCUAACACUGGGAUAUGGUCACUGAAGGUUCACUGCAGCCUAAAAAGAGAUCGGUGUCUGAUGCAAAGAAGAGACAAAUAUUAAUUCAAACGUGGCUCUAGUCUGAAGACAUCAUGGAAGAAUUUCACCUUCUGUUGGGAUAACUGACAUCACUACUUGGAUUUAUGACAAGAGAAGAUUGUUUUUCCCUGGUUUUAUCUCUGUUCAUCUUAUAGUCGUGACCAACUAAAGAAGAAAAUGUUUUAUUUCUGUGUGAGAAUGAUCAGUCUUUUGCAGCAAGAACUUACGCAAUUUAACUCAGUUAUAAAUGCCCUGUGCUUUUGUUCUACAGUGUAUUCCAGUCACCCUGAAAAGAAUGAGUUUGCAUAGGAAAUAUUAAGGGUCAUAAUAUCAUCUUCUGGAGAAAAAAAAUUCAAGAAAGAAAAAAGUCAUCUUGAUUGAAAUUACUGAUGAUGACCAACAUGAAGCCCCACUUCACAGUAUAGAACUGCCCCUGAGAUGUUAAUUUUGAAUUCAUAGAGCUGAACAAUACUUUUGCUGAGCUCUAUGGGCAGUAGAUGCUACUGUACAUAAAAGACUUUGAGUCAAUUGUAGAAAGUAAGAACAGUUGUGCCUGGUCAGACUGGAUGUUCUUCUAGUCCUUUUCCAGUGAUGGCAUCCCUCCCAAAUGCCUAGGAGGGAAUAAAGAAGUAAGGUGAGACUAUAGUACAGCUUCUCCAGAAUAUUCUUCUAGUAUUCAGUAAUGUGCAGCUCAGGGACUUCCAUUGCCAAAGCUCUAUGUGGGAGUUUUGAAGGCAGACAUAAGUAAAUGCAGCCCCUUUUAUUGAAGGUCUAUUUCAAAUUUCUUCUAAGAGCAGAAAUAUACUGAAUUUACAGCACGGACUGGAUAUAGCUCCUGUUUCUCAAGAGUCAGUGUUCUACCUUGUUGGUUUUCAUAGAAUCAUAGAAUCAUUCAGGUUAGAAAAGACCUUAAAAAUCAUUGAGUCCAACCACGACCUAACCAUACUACCCUUGCAGAAUGGAAGAAUAUAUUAAUGCUUUUGCUUGUAUUCUAAAAGAAACCCCAGUCAGAGUGAAUGAACUAAAAGAGAUUUACAUAUUUCAGAGUGCAUUCUGCUACUACAAAAACUGUCCACCAAAACAUCAGCUGGAAGUGCUUUUCUUCUGUAUGAUCACUCCUGUGAGUGUAUAGUUAUGUAUAAGUGGCCUCAGAGAGGAGAGGAUAGUGGAGACAGUGGAACAGCUGCUAUCUCUUUGUUUGCUGUGUGAACAGUUUUUCCCUUGAGCUUCUUGGAAUUGAUAUUUCAAGUAGAAUGAGAUACUGUCACCUGAAUCAACAUCAGCUCACUACUCAGGUGUAAUUCAUACCAACAGAGAAAGCAGAAAUUUGUCUUGAGAAAGUCACAGAAACAAGAACCACCCAGGGUAUUUGUAUCCCAAUAUCAACAGCUUCCACUAUCUUUCCUUUCUAUAUCCUUUCCAAUAAAGCCUCUCCUGAAAGAGUGAUGUGUUUCUCUGCUUCCUGUUAUACUGUAGGGUCAACAUAUUUGAUACAGUUGCUAGCCUUUUGCAAAUCAGGAUCAUUAUGGUUGGAGAAGACUACUAAGAUCAUUUAGUUCACCCAUCAAAUAUCUGUCAUAGUCCUCCUGACUCCAAGAGGUGGAAUGAAGUUAAAUCUAAACACUUCCACCAGAUUCGUGUGCCGGGUUCACAAAUUUCUUCAGAUUUGAAAAUCUGCAUCUGUUUCUUAACUCUGGGAUUUCAGGCAUGUUUUCUAGGCAUUGAAUCUCUGGAGCCACAUCCAGGAGAAGGGAUCUUGUAGUCCAGCUGCCCCGGGUCAUUUAUGAAAGUAGUUUUUUUCUAGCAGCAUUUGUCUUUGUUAUUUCUUUCCUACUGUGAUAUUUUAUGUUCAGUCCUGCAGAUUACCUGGUGUCAUUAAGCUACAGCCAUUGUAGCUUAAUUGUAUUGUUCUGUGGUGUUUCCAAUUUGCAUGGAAAAUUAUUCAUAUUAAUAACUCUCCAUUGUUCAUGUCUUAUCUUCCUAAGUCGUGUUGGAGGGCAAUACAAUGCAAGCCCUACUAUCAAAAGGCUUCUGUAUACUUUCAGGCAUUAACUGCUUUGCUUUUGGUGAAUUCAGAUGAAUUCAAGGCUUUUAGGGACUUUCAUAAAAUCAGCCAGAAUUCUUCAGGUUUUCUUAAUUUCCCCUCAGGUCACACUGUCCAGCUUUGCCUCUGAUAGCAGGCUUUGACCUAAAUGCUUCUGCCUCUACUACUGCUGAGCCUUGUCUUGUUUCAGAGAGAGACAGCUUGUCAUUCUGUGUAGGGACAGAAUUUAUGCAGUUUACAGUGCAAGGGAAGGGUGGAAAUCAAAUUAAAAUAUUGCAUUACAGAUUCCACUUGAAUUCAGCAAACGUUUUUGGGUCAGUCCUGCAUGCAUUGCAAAGAGAUAUUUUCAUUCCUGUGAACUGACAGGGUAACCAUUGAUCAUGUGGAGAGAUGAGGCUUUUAGGUUCAUUGCAACACUAGCAUAAGAUGUAGUCUCUUCUGUGUAACUACAGAAAACUCUAACAUGUUUUUAGAGUAUAAGGGAGUGCUUAGAAAAACAUCAAAGCAUCUUUUCAGUUGCUGUUUAAAACCACUCUUGUUUCACAGUUUUUAAGCACUAUCACUCAGCACUGGUUUUGCUUCCUAAUGUUGAUUUGCUUUCAGCCGAGCUUUUGUUUCACAAAGUUUGUGAAACACACCUGCCUAAAUACUUUAGCAAUAUGGAGCAAAUCUGAAAAUUGCUCAGUAUCUAUUAUUUCAUAACUGAAACCUAGUCAGGUUUCUUUUGUAUUUUAGUUUGAUAUUGUAAGCCACACAGGAAACCUACCUUCAUUUCUAUAUUGACUUAUUCUAGAAUAUUUGGUCAGAUAUUAUCAACUAUAUAAUAUAUUAAAAUUACUCAGUGUUGGCACCACUCCUAAAUUCAAGCCUAUCUAUGUGCAUUAUAGCUCUAUUUGGAUAUUCAAAGAGAUUAAAAAGAGUUUCAUUUUCUGCCAGACGACAAAUAAAGUAACCAUCAAAGCAGGUAAAGCCAAAAUAAAAAGAAAAAAAGACACUGUGAAAUUUUCUGAAACGUCUUCUUUCUUUAUUUACAAAAAGAUUAGGUCAAGUGAUUCUUUUAUGACAAAUGGUGUUCCUGUUCCUACCGAAAUCAAUGACAAAGCCUCAUUGAGUUCACUGGCAGCAUAAGCUGUUCCAGUUAGGCAGCACAAACACAAACCCUGACUGUGCCUUCGCUGACUUCAGAGUAAAUCUGCAUUAACCCUACUCAACUUCUGUUUAGCUAGAAUUGGACUGUUCUUGAAUUCCAUCAAAGUGGGUUUGACUCUUUCUGAUCGAAGUACAGUUGUUAACAAUGAAGAGAGAAGGAUUUUUACUAAUGGGAACAGAUUCAAAUAUAUGAGUUAAUGAAACCAAACUUCAUAAUUAUACAGAUUAGCAGAAUGUUCAACUAGUGUCAUCAGCGUUGCCAGAUGGAUUUCAGUGGAAAUAUACUGCUUUUUCACAUGCAAUGAUCUGGCAGACCACACAGUUUUCUCAGGUCAGGGGAAGCUCAGACAUAGAAUCAUAGAAUCAUAGAAUUG